rnacentral:rRNA from 1 species
UGGGGAAUAUUGCACAAUGGGCGAAAGCCUGAUGCAGCAACGCCGCGUGAGUGAUGAAGGCCUUCGGGUUGUAAAGCUCUGUCUUUUGGGACGAUAAUGACGGUACCAAAGGAGGAAGCCACGGCUAACUACGUGCCAGCAGCCGCGGUAAUACGUAGGUGGCAAGCGUUGUCCGGAUUUACUGGGCGUAAAGGAUGCGUAGGCGGAUUUUUAAGUGAGAUGUGAAAACCCUAAGCUUAACUUGGGGACUGCAUUUCAUACUGGAAAUCUAGAGUGCGGGAGAGGAGAAUGGAAUUCCUAGUGUAGCGGUGAAAUGCGUAGAGAUUAGGAAGAACACCAGUGGCGAAGGCGAUUCUCUGGACCGUAACUGACGCUGAGGCAUGAAAGCGUGGGUAGCAAACAGGAUUAGAUACCCUGGUAGUCCACGCCGUAAACGAUGAGUACUAGGUGUAGGAGGUAUCGACCCCUUCUGUGCCGCAGUUAACACAAUAAGUACUCCGCCUGGGAAGUACGAUCGCAAGAUUAAAGCUUAAAUGAAUUGACGGGGUCAUAGCUGUUUCCU